rnacentral:rRNA from 1 species
GCAGUCUCAGUUCGGAUUGAAGGCUGAAAUUCGCCUUCAUGAAGCCGGAAUUGCUAGUAAUGGCAGGUCAGCAUACUGCCGUGAAUACGUUCCCGGGCCUUGUACACACCGCCCGUCACACCAUGAGAGUUGGGAAUACCCGAAGCCUGUGAGCUAACUUUUAGAGGCAGCAGUCGAAGGUAGAAUCAAUGAUUGGGGUGAAGUCGUAACAAGGUAUC